GGAGGGGUCGCCUAGUGGCCUAUGGCGCUCGCUUGGAAAGCGAGUUUGGGAGCAAUCUCAUCGCGGGUUCAAAUCCCGCUCCCUCCGCCA
rnacentral:tRNA from 1 species